GCGUCCGUAGCUCAGCUGGAUAGAGCAUUGGUUUCCGGUACCAAGGGUCAGGGGUUCGAAUCCCUUCGGGCGCACCA
rnacentral:tRNA from 1 species